rnacentral:rRNA from 1 species
AACGAACGCUGGCGGCAUGCCUAACACAUGCAAGUCGAACGAGACCUCCGGGUCUAGUGGCGCACGGGUGCGUAACGCGUGGGAACCUGCCCUUAGGUUCGGAAUAACUCCCCGAAAGGGGUGCUAAUACCGGAUAAUGUCUUCGGACCAAAGAUUUAUCGCCUUUGGAUGGGCCCGCGUUGGAUUAGCUAGUUGGUAGGGUAAAAGCCUACCAAGGCGACGAUCCAUAGCUGGUCUGAGAGGAUGGUCAGCCACACUGGGACUGAGACACGGCCCAGACUCCUACGGGAGGCAGCAGUGGGGAAUAUUGGACAAUGGGCGAAAGCCUGAUCCAGCAAUGCCGCGUGAGUGAUGAAGGCCUUAGGGUUGUAAAGCUCUUUUACCCGGGAUGAUAAUGACAGUACCGGGAGAAUAAGCUCCGGCUAACUCCGUG